rnacentral:tRNA from 1 species
GCUGGGGGUAGCUCAGUGGUAGGGCACUUGCCCAGCAGGCAUGAGACCCUGGGUUCCAUCCCCAGCUCCGCA